rnacentral:tRNA from 1 species
AAAGGGAGACCUAAUUCAGGUAAAAGACGAAAAAAAGUAGUCGCUACCAAGAAUCAAUCCCAAAAGGUCGGAGCGAGGCGAAAUUGGCUUUCAAACUAGGUUCUGGGUUCAAACAAGACCUGAAUCAGGAACAAGGGCUAUUAGCUCAGGUGGUUAGAGCGCACCCCUGAUAAGGGUGAGGUCCCUGGUUCGAGUCCAGGAUGGCCCACCUGUACAGGUGGCAAAAAGAAAGAAAAGAAGCGAGGAAUCAGCACCUUAUCUUACUGACAUAGUAAGAGAGAAUGCUGGCUCUGAGUAAAGAGUCCAGAGGAACCUUGAAAACUGCAUAGAGCUAGGUGAAAAAGCCAAAAAAGAAGACCGCAAG